rnacentral:tRNA from 1 species
GCCUGGCUGGCUCAGUUGGAGGAGUGUGCAACUCUUGAUCUCAAGGUCGUGAGUUCGAGCCCCAUGCUGGGUG